GCGAAGGUGGCGGAAUUGGUAGACGCGCUAGCUUCAGGUGUUAGUGUUCUUACGGACGUGGGGGUCAAGUCCCCCCCCUCGCACCA
rnacentral:tRNA from 2 species